GGCCCACUGAUUCAGAGCUGUGUUUGUUAUUUCUGUAGUUUGUCUACGUGUGUGUCAUGUUCGGACUAGUGAGCAGCCAAGUUAGCCUAAUGGACUUCUUUCAAGGCCCAUGCCCCAUGGGAUGUCUGCAAUCCGUGUGCUUAUUCAGCUCCGGCUGUACCGGAAGCUGCCAGGAUGGAUGGUGUAAAUAUUACGGAGGUACAAACGUGGGUACGAUAUGCACGCCCCGCUGUUCACAGGGACAGAGCUGCAGCAGCUGGGGGUACUGUACGAGGGACAGGAACUGAAAGGGUUUCAAAGCUGUUUGAGACUCUGGCCUAUUUCUAUAUUUCAAAUAAAUUUUCAUGACUACGUGUACUAGUUCUUAUUUUCUGAAUAUAGUUCACAUAAAAACAUUGGUUAAAUAAUUUGACUCGCAAUUUUCAAGUAACGGAGAAAUACGUCUGAUAUUUUGAAAUUAUUUUUAA